rnacentral:lncRNA from 1 species
AGCCAAGAAACAAGCAUGCUGAAUUGUCCUGAGCAACGAAAGGGUCUGAAGACCACGGAUAUGCAGAGAGGAAAUGGUAACUGCCCUAGCAUUUGAAUCUGAUUUCUCAGAAGUGCCACCGCCUCUCUUUGUGGCUUUGAGAGCCAAUAGGGAGGGUCAGUGUCACUGCUCCUCCAGCCCAGCACGCCCCUCCUGGCAGGGUUUGGUUGCCCUCCUGAAAAGGAACAUCUCACGGAUGUCUCCGGACGGCCAGACGGCCCCUGGGGAGCAAUCCCUGCCUGGGCCCCAGAACCUCUGGUCUAAGCGAACAUGGCACGCAGCACCUGCAAGAGCAGGGACUGCUGACUUUAGUAACGGCAUGGUGUUGGUGGCAUCCGGUUUUAGACUGUCGCCUGGAGAUGUCACUGGGUUUUGGGUUUUUAGUCCCAAGUGACCUCGUAUGGGCUGAGGUUCUGCACACAGCAGCAUACAUGUGUCAAGGGUUUCAGUGGGAUGUGUAAUAAAGACACAGAGGAAAUUCUCAUGUUACAUUCAUUUAUUUAUUUAGCAGUGCUGGAGAUUGAACCCAGGGCCUCACUGAGCUACAUCUGUAGCCCCCAUUUUUAUUUAUUUAUCUUAUUGUUUAUUUAUGUAUCAGAGGGUCUCACUAAGUCACUAAGUUGCCUAGGCCGGGCUGGAACUUGUGUUGCUCCUGCCUCAGCCUCUUAAGAGUGCUAGGAUUCCAGGCAUGCUUGGCUCCUAAUGUUGCCUUUCUCAUCGACAAAGACCUGAGGCACAAAGGAUGAAGACUCUGCCGGCCAUACACCCAGGCUCCUGAGGCACCCAGACCCUCAGCCCACCCGAGUCACUUUUCCACAGCAGGCACUGGUUCGAGUUCUCAGCCUCGUCUGGUGCCCUGGCACCUCGUGGGCAGCAGGCUGGGGUUUGGCAGGGUGUCAGACCUGCAUGGUGGCUCUGUCCCAGGAGGGUGUGGGCCCUUAGACACCCGGAAGUCGUUUGUGGCUUUGGGGGCUGACACUGUAAUGAGUUCGAAC